GGCGAACGGUCGCGUAACACGUAAGCAACCUGCCCUGAAGUGGGGGACAACAUCCCGAAAGGGGUGCUAAUACCGCAUGUGGUCACGAGUCGGCAUCGACUUGUGUCUAAAGAUUUAUCGCUUCAGGAUGGGCUUGCGGCCUAUCAGGUAGUUGGUGGGGUAAUGGCCUACCAAGCCGACGACGGGUAGCUGGUCUGAGAGGACGAUCAGCCGGAUUGGGACUGAGAUACGGCCCAGACUCCUACGGGGGGCAGCAAUUAGGAAUCUUGCGCAAUGGGGGAAACCCUGACGCAGCGACGUCGCGUGAAGGAUGAAGGCCCUCGGGUCGUAAACUUCUUUUGAGUGGGAAGAAAUUUGACGGUACCACUCGAAUAAGCCCCGGCUAACUACGUGCCAGCAGCCGCGGUAAUACGUAGGGGGCGAGCGUUGUCCGAAGUUACUGGGCGUAAAGCGCGCGUAGGCGGUUAUUUAAGUCUGGGGUGAAAGGUUCAGCGCUCAACGUGAACAGUG
rnacentral:rRNA from 1 species